CUUCUUGGCUCAGUCUCCUGCCAAUGCGGGCAGCCACAGAAGACCGAGGCCCCACCUUCCAUCCCUCCUGCCAAGUGAGGCUGUGCUGGAGAAACUCCACUGGGAAGAAAGAAGCAAAGAACCAUCCACAAGGUGCUGAGGACCCCUCAAGAGAUGGACCAGCCGAUGCCUUUCGUCGCCGAAAUGCCAGGUGGGCUGUACCCCUCCAAGGAAAUUGUCGUGUGAGGCAUUGCCCUGCCCAGCGCUGAGAGGUUGCAAAUCAACUUGUACUCUGGGAAUGACAUCGCCCUCCACCUGGACAUCCGUUUCCGUGAGAACGUUGUGGUCUGCAACACAAAGAUGAACGGCAUUUGGGGGUCGGAGGAGCGAAGCCCGAUUGAAAAAAUGCCCUUCAUCCCAGGCCAAAGAUUCUUGAUGAGGAAACAGACUCACAAGUGCAGGUUACUGGCCUGAGGUCACACAGAUGAUACGUGCCAGAUGGAGCCCAAGAAUGAGGUAUCAUCCCUGUAUUCACUCACUCACUCACUCAUUCAACAAUCAUUUCAGCUGUUGUCUCAGGAUGUACUUUGUGCAGGAAGCACCCCAGGGGCUGGGGGUACAGCCUGGAGCAGACAGACUCCCUGCCCCACGGAGUCUGCAGUUUAGGAGGCAGAGGAAGCAGGAAACAAACGCACGGACAGACCCUUGCAGAUAAGAACAGGUGCUCUGCAGAAAGCAAAGCAGAAUAGAGGGAUAGAGUGAGCCCCGGGGCAGGGGCGGCACUGUCUUAGACGGGACAGCUCUCCCAGGAGGCCACCGUGCCCUUGAGACCCCAAUGGCAGAAGGAGCGGCCUCGCAAAGAUCUGCAGGUGCAUUGGGGCUGCAGCAGAGGGAGCCCCUGUUACUGCAGAGGCAGAGUCCUGGGCGUGGCCUGUCUGGGACCAGGGGACGGGGGGGCUCCCAGGUGGAUGGACAGUGAGGACAGAGAGGUGAGGGUGGGGCGACUGAGGCCCAGCUCACACAGAGCAGGUGUUCUCAGCCCCGACCACACAGUCAAACCCCUGGGAACUUAAAGAAGGAAAAUCAAUGCCUGGGCCUGCCUGGGGCCAACGAGGGGGUGAGCCUGGGCCUCCCUAUUUUUAAAUCCGCCCUGGUGCUCCUCCCCCAGGGUUGAAAUGACUGAUGUCGGGCCGUGAGGGCCAUGGAAAGAGCUGGGAUUUUAAUACAGCGUGUUGGUGUGUUUCAAGCCAGAGGGCAAUGUACUUUGAUUUCUAGACAGCUGGGUGACUGUGAGCAAGUGAGUUAACUGCUCUGUGGCUCAGUUUCCUCAUCUAAAAAUGGGCUAAUAAUAACAACAAUCUCAGAGAUGUAAGAAUGAAAUGAAAUCUUAUCUGUGACAUGCUUAGGACAGUGCCUGGCGGGCAGUAAGUGUACAAGUGUCAGCUAUUGCGAUGGGGAUGAUGACAUUUUAACAGACAUGCUCCAACUGCCUCUUGGAGAAAGUUUGGGUGGAAAAGACAAGUUAGGAGGCUGCCGCUGCAGGAGUGCAAGCGCAGAACACUCCUCUGUACCAGGGACAAGGGACAGGGACGGCACAAGCCAGCAUUCCUGUCCCUGGAGGCUCAGGGUCCAGUUGGAGAAUGAGGAUGGGGCUGGGGGACAUGACCUAAGGGGCACCUGACUCGACUAGGAGGGAGUCAGGAGGUGUGCGAGGCAGGGAAGGCUCGCCAUCCUGGAGGGAGAUUAGCAGUCAUCCGUGUGGGCAAGGUGUCCUAAGUGCCGAGCACAGGAGGAAGGGCAUUCUGGGCGGUGGGGGCAGAAUAUGCAAAAGUACAGGGGCAAGAGAAUCUUGGGCAUGCUGAGUAAAGAACAAAUCAUUCAGAGCAGCUAGAAGGCAGGUAUAGGGCCUGCUUGAUGAAAGUGUGAGGAAGGCAGGAAUGAGAGAAGGAGACACGAGCCUGCAUUUAGAUUUGAGGGCUCUCCAAGUGGAGUGCAAAUAGCAUGGCCUCUCCACCCAGGUGCGCAUCACGUGUGAAGCCAACUGCUUCAGGGUGGAUGUGAAUGGUGGGCACCUGUGUGAGUACUACCACCGCCAGAACAACUUGUCCUCCAUCAACAAGGUGGAAGUGGUGGGCGACAUCAAGGAGAUUCAGAUUCAGAUGCAGGAGGGAUCCCUGGCCUGGGCUCUAGGGCUGGGGCACAUUGCUGUCUGGAUCUGCUCAUCACCUCCACCUUCCCCGUCCCUGCCCCAGCCCCAGCCCUUCCCAGCCUGCAGAGGGUCUCUUUUCUGGGGAGACCACGCCCUUGUCUGGCCUUGAUGAAGCUUCAGCCAGCCUGGAGUGCCGAGGGCAG